GGAAUUUUGGACAAUGGGCGAAAGCCUGAUCCAACAAUGCCGCGUGCAGGAUGAAGGCCUUCGGGUUGUAAACUGCUUUUGUACGGAACGAAACGGUCUUUUCUAAUACAGAAGGCUAAUGACGGUACCGUAAGAAUAAGCACCGGCUAACUACCUGCCAGCAGCCGCGGUAAUACGUAGGGUGCAAGCGUUAAUCGGAAUUACUGGGCGUAAAGCGUGCGCAGGCGGUUAUGUAAGACAGUUGUGAAAUCCCCGGGCUCAACCUGGGAAUUGCAUCUGUGACUGCAUAGCUAGAGUACGGUAGAGGGGGAUGGAAUUCCGCGUGUAGCAGUGAAAUGCGUAGAUAUGCGGAGGAACACCGAUGGCGAAGGCAAUCCCCUGGACCUGUACUGACGCUCAUGCACGAAAGCGUGGGGAGCAAACAGGAUUAGAUACCCUGG
rnacentral:rRNA from 1 species